rnacentral:rRNA from 1 species
GUGGGGAAUAUUGGACAAUGGGCGCAAGCCUGAUCCAGCCAUACCGCGUGGGUGAAGAAGGCCUUCGGGUUGUAAAGCCCUUUUGUUGGGAAAGAAAUCCAGCUGGUUAAUACCCGGUUGGGAUGACGGUACCCAAAGAAUAAGCACCGGCUAACUUCGUGCCAGCAGCCGCGGUAAUACGAAGGGUGCAAGCGUUACUCGGAAUUACUGGGCGUAAAGCGUGCGUAGGUGGUCGUUUAAGUCUGUUGUGAAAGCCCUGGGCUCAACCUGGGAACUGCAGUGGAAACUGGACGACUAGAGUGUGGUAGAGGGUAGCGGAAUUCCUGGUGUAGCAGUGAAAUGCGUAGAGAUCAGGAGGAACAUCCAUGGCGAAGGCAGCUACCUGGACCAACACUGACACUGAGGCACGAAAGCGUGGGGAGCAAACAGGAUUAGAAACCCUAGUAGUCC